rnacentral:rRNA from 1 species
AACGAACGCUGGCGGCAUGCCUAACACAUGCAAGUCGAACGAGACCUUCGGGUCUAGUGGCGCACGGGUGCGUAACGCGUGGGAAUCUGCCCUUGGGUCCGGAAUAACUCAGAGAAAUUUGAGCUAAUACCGGAUGAUGACGUAAGUCCAAAGAUUUAUCGCCCAGGGAUGAGCCCGCGUAGGAUUAGCUAGUUGGUGAGGUAAAGGCUCACCAAGGCGACGAUCCUUAGCGGUCUGAGAGGAUGAUCAGCCACACUGGGACUGAGACACGGCCCCAGACUCCUACGGGAGGCAGCAGUGGGGGAAUAUUGGACAAUGGGCGAAAGCCUGAUCCAGCAAUGCCGCGUGAGUGAUGAAGGCC